rnacentral:rRNA from 1 species
UCUUGAAACACGGACCAAGGAGUCUAACAUGUGCGCGAGUCAUUGGGUCACUACUAAACCUAAAGGCGUAAUGAAAGUAAAGAUCCCUUGUUUAGGGAUUAAGGGAUGAUGGAGUAACCUUUAACUGGUUCUUUUGGUCUCGAAGCUCGCUGAGAGGCACUCUCGCAAUCCCGGGGCGUCUCGUUCUCAUUGCGAGAUGAGGCGCACCUUGAGCGUACAUGUUGGGACCCGAAAGAUGGUGAACUAUGCCCGGCCAGGACGAAGCCAGGGGAAACCCUGGUGGAGGUCCGUAGCGAUUCUGACGUGCAAAUCGAUCGUCGGAGCUAGGUAUAGGGGCGAAAGACUAAUCGAACCAUCUAGUAUCUGGUUCCUC